rnacentral:rRNA from 1 species
CGGUGUUCAACUGGCGUGUCCGCGGGACGUCCUGCCGGUGGGCUUAGCCCGCAAGGGCGGCCCAACUUCAAAUCCCAUCGCGGUGCUCUUCACUGAGUGUCGAGGUGGGCCGGCACGUUUACUUUGAACAAAUUAGAGUGCUUAAAGCAGGCUAAAACUUCGCCUGAAUACUGUGUGCAUGGAAUAAUGGAAUGGGACCUCGGUUCUAUUUUGUUGGUUUUCGGAACCCCGAGGUAAUGAUUAAUAGGAACGGAUGGGGGCAUUCGUAUUGCGACGUUAGAGGUGAAAUUCUUGGAUCGUCGCAAGACGGACAGAAGCGAAAGCAUUUGCCAAAAACGCUUUCAUUGAUCAAGAACGAAAGUUAGAGGUUCGAAGGCGAUCAGAUACCGCCCUAGUUCUAACCAUAAACGAUGCCAGCUAGCGAUCCGUCGACGUUCCUCCGAUGACUCGACGGGCAGCUUCCGGGAAACCAAAGCUUUUGGGUUCCGGGGGAAGUAUGGUUGCAAAGCUGAAACUUAAAGGAAUUGACGGAAGGGCACCACCAGGAGUGGAGCCUGCGGCUUAAUUUGACUCAACACGGGAAACCUCACCAGGCCCGGACACCGGAAGGAUUGACAGAUUGAGAGCUCUUUCUUGAUUCGGUGGGUGGUGGUGCAUGGCCGUUCUUAGUUGGUGGAGCGAUUUGUCUGGUUAAUUCCGAUAACGAACGAGACUCUAGCCUGCUAACUAGGCGUAUUUUCGACAUCUCAAAGGUCCGUCGUCCCGGCCCUCGGGUCGUGGGCGUGCGCGAUUUUUACUGUCGGCGUACUAUCAAUUCUUCUUAGAGGGACAGGUGGCUUCUAGCCGCACGAGAUUGAGCAAUAACAGGUCUGUGAUG